AUUGAACGCUGGCGGCAUGCUUUACACAUGCAAGUCGAACGGUAACAGGCCGCAAGGUGCUGACGAGUGGCGAACGGGUGAGUAAUGCAUCGGAACGUGCCCAGUCGUGGGGGAUAACGCAGCGAAAGCUGUGCUAAUACCGCAUACGAUCUGUGGAUGAAAGCGGGGGACCGAAAGGCCUCGCGCGAUUGGAGCGGCCGAUGUCAGAUUAGGUAGUUGGUGGGGUAAAGGCUCACCAAGCCAACGAUCUGUAGCUGGUCUGAGAGGACGACCAGCCACACUGGGACUGAGACACGGCCCAGACUCCUACGGGAGGCAGCAGUGGGGAAUUUUGGACAAUGGGCGCAAGCCUGAUCCAGCAAUGCCGCGUGCAGGAAGAAGGCCUUCGGGUUGUAAACUGCUUUUGUACGGAGCGAGAAGGCUCUCUCUAAUACAGGGGGCUCAUGACGGUACCGUAAGAAUAAGCACCGGCUAACUACGUGCCAGCAGCCGCGGUAACAC
rnacentral:rRNA from 1 species